ensembl:lncRNA
GCAGGAAAACGCAUGGAGACACAACGUCAACAGUGAAAAGCUGAAUACAGUCGGAAAUGGUGACAGCAACGACUGCCAGAGAGAUUAAAACUACACUGACCAACACGCAGACAGAGCAACCGGUGCAGCAGGACCGAACCACUGUGCGGGGGCCCUAACACUACUGUCCGCCACUGUCCGGUCACGCCACAGACCAAUCUAAGCGCUGAAAUGGGAGAAGGAGAUUGAGUAUUGUCAUGGCCCGCUGCGCCGGCCACGGCCUGACCGGUGGCAGAGGGACCACAGCUCAUCUGCCUGCGCGGGAGACGGUCCGUAAUCCUUCCUGGACGCUGCAGGAAGAGCGACAGCGCGGAGGCGGAAAAGCCUUUCUGAAGCACGUGUGAGGGCUUUGAGAACAGAAGACUUCUUCUCUGCCGUCGGGCCCAUGUCUCUUGUUCUGUCCUCUCAGACAAUUGGAUUAUAGCAGAACCCCUCUAAUUCUGAACAGUUCCCUAAGAUUUAAUAUGCCACAAUUUGAUAUAGGACUUGAUUUAGAUGCAAACCUCAUGACAUGCGGCUUGUGACCUCCUGUUGAAAAGCUCAUCAACUUGUUGUGAGCAUAUUAAUGCUUUUAGACCUUACUAGCAUGAAGAUUUAUCAAGCAUUACAAAGCUUUAUAUGUUGCUUCUAUUGAAAAAUGAAACUCAAAUAUGUAUCGUUGAGUAAUAACUCGCAAAUGAUUACAAUACAAAAUAAUCAGUUACUUACAAUUUGUUUUAUUUUUUUUGCAUUAAUAUGAUGAUAAUACAUGGUGAUAAAAACCUUGUUACAUUUCGAAUACGUUUUACAAAUGAUUCAUAAAUAUGCCAAAAUAUUUUUUACAAACCAACAGGAUUGCAUUAACCAGGAAUUGUAUUCUCAAAGUGUUUACUUUCAAACAAAGAUUCGUAAUUAGAGACCGUGCAUAUGAGAUCAUAUAAUUUCCUGUAUUUUACACGAGUUAUUUUAACACCAUUAAUAAGUGUGAAAACAAUGUGGUUAAUUGUAAGAGAAAUUAAGAGAAUAAUUAAGAACGUAGUCAAAGUUCAUAAAUCAUUUCCAACCAAUAUAAUCCUAAUAGCUGCAUAGUUAAUAUCUAAUUCUGCAAUAAAUGGAGGUGUACUGCUACAAGUGGCUGAGGUUUAUUUGCACUGGUGCACACGGGGCCCAGGCAGGUGCACACAGCCCACCGUGGGGUAUCAGGUAUCCCCUUGGCCGAGGCCUCUCCCAUUUGUCACGGUGAAUGAGUGGUCUGCCUGACUGCACUUUCUCAUUCCAUUUCCUCCCGCGCUGCAGUGAGGCCCUACCACCCAC